UUUCGUUGUUUUCACAGUUUUUUACUGUUUUUCUCGACAGUUUCUUACUGUAUAAGUUGUUUACAGUUUGUUACUAUAGAUUUGUUGUUUCCACAGUAUUUUAAUGUAUUUUCAACAGUUUUUUACUGCAUAAGCUUUGUACAGUAGGCUACUGUAGUUUUCCAAUGCAUUAUGGGAAAUAUUACUCUGAAUACAGUAUUACCAACCAACUGCAAAACACAAUGACAAACGUCUAUUUAUAUCUUAAAUGCUUAAAUUUUUUUGUGAGAUAUUUGGUUUAAUGUCUGUUUUCACAUCAGAUGCUCGGUGUGUUCCUUUAACAUAAAUCAGGUGCCUUUUCUGAGGCUUUAAUGAAAUCACCAGCCAAUUCAAUAGACAUACCAUCAGUUCUUAAUAUUGUUGCCUCUGGGUCACAAAAUGUAUUUUUAAGAUUAGUUUAGGCGAUAAUAUAUAUGUAUAAUCUUCAAAUAACAGUCGAUUAGUUAAAAAAGCGCUAAUUUUAGAAUUUGAUUAAACAAAUGCGGAGGGUUCAGGCGCGAGUCGGUCACGUGAUGUGCUCCUCAGUUCUGUCAGUAGGGGGAGUGGGAGAACGCGUGUGUGUCGUCGUAUCUGUUCUGCUCAUCUAGCGCGUAUUUCUUUAUUAAUAUCUGCUGGGUGAAUAUUAAUACGUAUAUGCUAACAUUAAUUUUGUGACCACAAAAUGACAGCGAGCUAUUAUACGAGAUAUUGUGUCGUCGUGUUUGUCUUCACUCACUUCAUCAUUAUCUGGUAAGUGCUAUAUGCAAUAUCUGGUAUGAGACUUUAUUGGCACUAAAGGGUUCUUUCGGCUAAAUUUUACUUAAUUUCUGUCAUAACAGCAAACAACUUCUGCAAUUACACAAUGAUUGUCUGCCUGUGUGCAAAAUAAAGCACGUUCACUGUGUAAAACCCCGCGCAGGACAUUUUCAAAUUAACGGUCAGGGCGAGUCUGAGCUUAUCGUGUUGUGUUGACAGAGACUUUGCUGAGGUAAGUAAGAGAAAGAAAUUAAUGUGUUAAAUAAAUAACGUUAUAAACUUGAAUUAUGUUGUGCCAGAAUACGUUGUUUAAUGAAUAUCUGUGGAAUAGGUUUAAAAUAAUACAUUAAUGACUGAACGUGAACUUGACUGAACAUUAUGGCAGCUAGAAGUAUUGAAAAGACGUAUAAUAGAUUUAACAAUGUUUUAUCUUCUUUAUUAGUGUAUGUAAAUCUGGGCUACAGUCCACGACAAAUUUUCUACGGUAGUUUUACGCCUGCAUGCUGGUCCUUUCGUCUAUCGCGGGGAUAUCAUCACUUCAGCGGACAUCGCACUGAAGAGAUCCUUCCUGUGCUUGCGUGGCGGUGUGUUUGUGUGCUCACUUGGAUUGAGACCAGCAGUGCUUUUUUAAACAGUGGAUUCUUUAUGACAUCAAGAUGUGGUUUGGGAAGGACCUUCAUCUAAAUCUGAAGACAGGACAUACUGGCUCAAAAAGGUGUUUCUGAUAUGGAGAAAAACCCUGCACUGCUCAUUUUAUUUCUUCAUCUUGAGAAUACAGCAAGUUUACCUUUUGUCUGGAAAAUGAUUCAGCAAAGCUAACACCAACAACAAUUUUUCAUGGCACUUUAAACCACCUUGAUGUGAGGAGCCAGCAUCAGAAUGGAUGGUGUCAAUAUCCUGAAAGUGGAGGUAACAGAGGUGGAUCUCGAGACUUGGCCAUGUUCUAGAUUAUAACUGGAUUAUCACAAGUGCUGUCGCCCCUGCUGUAUAUGACGCCCCCACCACCUACACCAGGUGUAGGAAAUGUCGGUCCUGGAGUGCCGUUGUCCUGCAGAGUUUUGCUCCAGCUCUAAACAAACACACCUGAACAACUAGAUCUGAAGAGUCACCAGAAAACUACAGGUAGGCGAGGUUUUAUCAGGGUUGGAAAUGAAAUCUGCAGGAUUUCGACA